AUUGAACGCUAGCGGGAUGCUUUACACAUGCAAGUCGAACGGCAGCGCGGACUUCGGUCUGGCGGCGAGUGGCGAACGGGUGAGUAAUGUAUCGGAACGUGCCCAGUAGCGGGGGAUAACUACGCGAAAGCGUAGCUAAUACCGCAUACGCCCUACGGGGGAAAGCAGAGGAUCGUAAGACCUUGCACUAUUGGAGCGGCCGAUAUCGGAUUAGCUAGUUGGUGAGGUAACGGCUCACCAAGGCGACGAUCCGUAGCUGGUUUGAGAGGACGACCAGCCACACUGGGACUGAGACACGGCCCAGACUCCUACGGGAGGAAGCAGUGGGGAAUUUUGGACAAUGGGGGCAACCCUGAUCCAGCCAUCCCGCGUGUGCGAUGAAGGCCUUCGGGUUGUAAAGCACUUUUGGCAGGAAAGAAACGUCGCGGGCUAAUACCCCGUGGAACUGACGGUACCUGCAGAAUAAGCACCGGCUAACUACGUG
rnacentral:rRNA from 1 species